CAAAUCAAAUUUGGAGCAGCAGAACCAACAAAAAGUUGAGAUCUUAAGCUUGGAAGGGCCUUGUAUCAUCUUGAAUGCCUCCAUCUAGGAAACCUGGGGAGAUCUCCGCAUGGUAUCUGCAGUAUGAUGAAAAUGGCUCACUGGUGGCAAGCACAUGGUUCACAAUAUAACAGAAGAAAGUUUUACUGAAAGGCAGAAAACAGAAGAAAACCCCUUGAAAGCAUAAUCAUUAGUCUCCAAGGUUUGUCCUUGGAAUCAUUAAAAGUAAAAUACAAUUCCUCUGGCUCUGGCCCUGCAUGAGUCUCUCCUUUGCAUGCAACUCUCUGCCAGUAUCCCCGCAGGGUAAUGCUCUACUGUUCUCUGUUGCUACCACAGAUGACUUCAGAUGUUGCUUUUUGGUGUGCUCUGUCUUCUUCAGCUGGUGAAUUCUGGGCAUUACUCUUUUCCUCUACAGCAUGACUAUCUUUCAGUAACUCAAGGCAAAACUUAAAUAUUCCCUGUCAUUCAAUAAGAUUUACCAAAUGGCAAGAAAAUGGAAAAUUUUUUGGAGUUCAUUUCUGACGGGAAUUAGAGAUAUGCAUGGAUGAAAAGGCAUUGAUUAAACAUGUGACAUAGUGAAUAAAGAGGUGGCCUCAAAACCAA